ACACGAAAUCUUUCUAACUUAAACAAAAUUGCACAUUAAUGGGUUCUUAUAAAUCAUACAAUUUUGUCCUCCUGUUAAGCUAAAUUCAAUAAUGAUCAUGACAAAGUGAUAACCAUUUAGGUAAGACAAAAAUAUAUUUCCAACUCACAGCUCUGUAUAACCAGAAUAUCCAAACCAUAAAAACAUUCCUUUGUAUAAAAUGUUGCAAGAAACAGCUCCUCUCUGAUCUGGUAUGG
rnacentral:misc_RNA from 1 species